AUUUGUUUGGUAUUCGGACCGGAUCGGCACCCCUUCAUUAAAUGGAUAGGAGUAGCGAUAGAUGUUAUCAGCUGGUGGUUUCAGACUUUCUGAUGUAUAUUAUUUAUAAGGUCUUUAUGAAUAAUUAAUAAAGUGGUCUGCACAUGUCUGGGGUCAUUCUGCUUUUCUAAAAAAAAAAAGCUCUCACAGCUCGUACUAUCUGGUUCAGUGCUGAAGAAAAUAUUUCGGUCAAAAACAUCAACGUCUGCAGUUUUGAGGUUUGACACAUUACCUGACUAAGACUGACCCAUUUGCAACCUUCACCUGAUUAGUG
rnacentral:lncRNA from 1 species